ensembl:lncRNA
GAAACUAUUUGGUAUUUACACAUGUGUGUCCUAUUUAUUUCACUGAAGAGUAUCACUUCAACGUGGAUCCAUUUAGCUAUAAAUGUUUCUAAUUUCUCAUUUUUUAUGGUUGAGUAGUACUCCAUUUUAUUAAAAAAACCACAUCUUUAUCCAGUCUCCAGUUGAUGGGCAAUUGGGCUGUUUCCAAGUUUUAGCUAUUACAAACUGUGCCGCUGUGAACAUGGGUGCACAUAUAUCUCUGUGGUAUGAUUCUUUUAAUUCUUUUGGGAAGAUCCCCAGCAGGGGAAUAGCUGGGUCAAAUGAGACCUCUAAUCCUAGUUCUUUGAGGUAUCUCCAUACUGAUUUCCACAGUGGUUGCACCAGUCUGCCCUCCCACCAACAGUGGAGAAGUGUUCCUUUCUCCCCUCACUCCCGCCGGCAUAUGUUAUUGGUUGAUUUCUUGAUAGCAGCCAUUCUUUCCUGGGGUAAGGUGGAAUCUCAGUGUUGUUUUCAUCUGCAUCUCUUGAGUGACCAGUUUUUCAUAUAUUUAUUUGCUCCUUUUACUUCUUUGAGAAAUGUCUGUUCAUUUCAGGUGCCCAUUUUUGAAUUGGGUCUUUGAAUUUGGGGGGGGGUCUGAUUUUUUUCAAUUCUUUAUAUAUUCUAGAUAGUAGACCUUUGUCUGAGGUACAGCUGCUAACAACUUUUUUCCCACAUUGUAGGUUGUCUCUUAGCUCUGUUGGUGGUUUCUCUUGCAGUGCAGAAGCUUUUUAAUAAGAUGAGAUCCCAGUUGUUGAUUCUUUGUGCUAGUUCCCAUGCUACUGGUGUUUUGUUCAUAAAGUCUUUUCCUAUGCCAGUGUCUUCAAGAGUUCUACCUAACUUAUCUUCCAAAAAGUUUAGUGUUUCUGUCUUAAUAUUUAGAUCUUUAAUCCACUUUGAUCUUAGUUUAGUGCAGGGUGAUAGGUAUGGGUCUAAGUUUAAUCUUUGGCCGGUUGAAAUCCAGUUUUUCCAACAUUCAUUAAAGAGGCUAUCUUUCCUCCAAUGAGGGUAGUUGGGUCCUUUGUCAAAGAUGAGGUGGCUCAGUAUGUCUGGAGUUGUUUCUGCAUCUUCUAAUCUGUUCCACUGAUCUUUGGGUCUGUUUCUUUUUCAGUACCAUGCUGAUUUUUAUCUCAGUAGCUUUGUAGUAGAGUUUCAAGUUGGGGAUUGUGAUACCCCCUGCCAUAUCUCUGUUGCCUAGAAUUGCUUUUGCUAUUCUAGGUCUCUUCUAGUUCCAAAUGAGUUUUUGGAUUGUUUUCUCUAGCUCUGUAAAGUGUAUUGUUGGAAUUUCAAUCAGCAUUGCAUUAAAUCUAUAUAGUGGUUUUGGAAGUAUGGCCAUUUUCACUAUAUUGGUUCUUCCUACCCAGGAACAAGGGAUGUCUUGCCAUUUUCUUAUAUCCUCCUCGGUCUCCGUUUUCAGAGUGCUGUAGUUUUCAGUGUAGAGGCUUUUGCUUCCUUUGUUAGAUUGAUUCCUUGAUAUUUCAUUUUUUUGGAUGCUAUUGUAAAAGGAAUUGUUUCCCUAAUUUCUCUCUCAGUGAGUCUUCUGUUUGUGUAUAAGAAGGCUAUUGUGUUUUGAGUGUUGACGUUAUAUCUAGCUACUCUACUGAAUCUGUCAAUUAGGGCUAGAAGUGUUUUGGCUGAGUUUUUUGGGUCUUCUAUGUAAAGUAUCAUCAUUAGCAAAUAAUGACAGUUUAACUUCUUCCUUUCCUCUCUUUAUUGCUUUUGUUUCUUUCUUCUUUUCUAAUUGCUGUGGCUAAUGUUUCCAGAACUAUAUUGAACAGGAAUGGUGAUAGUGGGCAUCUUUCCUUGUCUUGUUCUGAUUUUAGCAUGAAAGUUUUCAGUUUUUGACCAUUUAGUAUGAUGUUGGCUGUUGGCUUUUCAUAAAUAGCCUUAAUCAGGUUGAGAUAAAUACCUUCUAUUCCAAUUUUCUGUAGUGUUUUUAUCAUGAAUAGGUGUUGGAUUUUGUUGAAUGCCUUUUCUGCAUCUGUUGAGAUGAUCAUAUGGGUUUUGUCCUUGACUCUGUUGAUAUAGUGUAUUACAUUUAUUGAUUUAUGAAUGUUGAACCAUCCUUCUAUCCCUGGGAUAAAUCCGACUUGGUCAGGGUAUAUAAUCUUCUUGAUGACCCUCUGUAUUCUGUUUGCCAGUAUCUUGUUGAGGAUUUUUGCAUCUAUGUUCAUUAGGGAGAUUGGCCUGUAAUUCUCUUUUGGGUUGGGUCUUUCCCUGGUUUUGGAAGCCUUGCUUCCCUUUCAAUUUCCUUGAUGAGUUUGAAGAGUAAUGGCAAUAGUUCUUCUUUAAAUGUCUUGUAGAAUUUAGCAGUGAAGCCAUCAGGACCUGGGCUUUUUUUUGUUGGUAAAUUUUUUAUUACAUUUUUAAUUUCACUCAUUGUAAUUGGGGUGUUUAGAAUUUCUAUAUCUUCAUUUAACUUUGGCAAUUCAUAUGUAUCUAGGAAUCUGUCCAUUUCUUCUGUGUUUUCCAUUUUAUUAGAGUACAAGUUCUCAAAAUAGGUAUUGAUGAUCCUCUGGAUUUCUGCUGGGUCUGUUGUAACUUCACCUUUUUCAUUCUUAAUUUAGGCCACGUUUUCUUUAUUCAUUCAUCUAUUGAUGGGUGUAUAGGCUAUUUCCAUAAUGUAGCUAUUGGAAAUUGUGCUGCUAUAAACAUGGGUAUGCAUGUAUCACAGUAAUAUGCUAUCUUUAACUCUUUUGGGAAGGUACUCAGGAGAGGUCAAAUAGAAUUUCUAUUUUUAGUUUUUAGAGGAAUCUAUGCUGAUUUCCAUUGUAGUUGUACUAGUAUACUCUCCCACCAGUAAUUUAGAAGGGUUCCAUUUUUUCCUGCAACCUCACCAGCAUUUGUUGUUUUUUGAGUCCUUGAUGAUAGCCAUUCUUAUUGGAGUAAGAUGGACUCUCCAUGUUGUUUUGAUUUGCAUUUCUCUAAUGGCCAAAGAUGCUCAACAUUUUUUUCAUGUAUUUAUUGGGCAUUUGUACUUCAUCUUUUGAGAAAUGUCUAUUCAUUUCAGUUGCCCUUUUUAAUAUUUUUUUGGGAUCUAAUUUUUUUGAAUUCUUUACAUAUUCUAGAUAUUAGUGUUUGUCUUAGUAAUAGCUGGUAAAAUAUUUCUCUCAUUCUUAGAUGGUCUCUUCACUGUUGACUAUUUCCUUUGCUAUGCAGCUUUUCAUUUUGAUAUAAUCCCAUUUGUUGACUCUUGGUAUUAUUUGUUGUGCAAUUGGGGUUCUAUUCAAAAAAUCCUUGUCUAUGCCUCUGUUUUUAAGAAUUUUACCUAUUUUUUCUUCCAGCGGGUUUAGUUUCAGUUUUUAUAUCAAGGUCUUUGAUCCAGUUUGAUUUUAUUUUAGUACAAGGUGAGAGGUAUGGGCCUAGAUUUGUUCUUCUGCAUGUGGAUGACCAGUUUUCCUAGCACAAUUUGUUAAAGACUUUUUUCCCCAGUAUCUGUUUUAAGCCCCUUUAUCAAAGAUCAGAUGGCUAACGGUGUAUGGGGGCUGUUUUUGUGUCUUCUGUUGUAUUCCAUUGGUCUACAUGUCUCAUAAUCUCAUUUUUAGUGAUACUAUUUUGUCUAUGAGGUAUGCUUCAAGGUUUGUGUACUGAACAGUGUUAAAAUGUAUGUUCCUUAUGUUGAGAGUUUCCCAUUAGUCCACUAGAUGGAGCACCUGGUUUGAAUACAUUCCACGAUUAGCCAUUGAAAGAGAAGAUGUGGGUCUUCACAUCAGAGGCAUAUUGCAGAUCCCUGAAAUUAGCCAGGCAUUUUGAUUUGUCUUUUCCUAUGAAUAUAAAGUUUUCCUUUUCUUACUCAGCACAUCUGUGGGGAAGCAAUGGAGGAAGUUCUUUGAGGGGUGCUUAACAGAACAGCAUUGUGAUACUGUGCUGCAAAUUAGUGCUCUGUGACUUUGGUCAUACUGUUAUUAGCCAUCUUUGAGUCUCAGUUUCUGAUUUGUGACAGUGUGGUACUAGUAAGUAUGUUGUACUGGGUAACAUAUUAGGAAUGUUGGGUCUCAGGUCACCUGCCUGACCAAAGAAAGACACAUUAGCUCCCAUUUAGCUGAUCUGUAAAUAAAUAGGCAUCUGCUAAAUUAAAGACUUUUACAUAGGUUCACGUUUUUGUUGACUGCCAAGUACAAAAGAGUUUGUGAUACUUGGAAACAGACUCUUCAGAAUUCCUCUUAAAUUAUACAGAUUUGAUAUCUUCAAUGGAAAAGCAACAGAACACCAAGCCCACUUUAAUUUAUAGUAUUUAAAUUAAUAAAUUUAUAGUACUUCUUCUUUGAGUUGAGGCAAAGGACCUAGCUUCAGUAUUGUUUUUCCCCAGUAGAGAGAUUUACAGGGGUUCAUAUAUUUGAAUAGAUUUUAGAUCAGUUUUAGCAGGAAUUUCUUCAACAUUCCUUGGACUUAAGCCACUUAACACAGUGAAACACCUUAAUUUCCUGGUGCCUUCCAGAUAGUGACAUAUACUGGUGACUCUUAAGGGUUAAAAGAAGGAAAUGCAUCAUUAGUUUUUCCCAGGAAAUAUUGAAUCAUCAAGGCAUUUCUUUGGUUACAUAAUAGAUUUAAUCAAUCUAUUGAUUAUUAUGAAAUUAAGAAGCAUGUCUUCCCGAAAAUGGCCUUAGUUCACCUAUUUGUGGAAGUUGGAGGAAUCUAAUUUUUCUCCCAUUCACAAGUAUAUAGUAGUACCUCAGUUUAUGCCUUUGUUUGAUUUGAAAACAAAAGUGUUUGGGAAAAUUUUUUGUUUGCAAACUUCACAUCAGGUGACAGACACGACUGUGAUCAUCUUUCCUGCACAAACAGAAACGUGGCAUCUUUUCCAAAAUCAUAGAACAAAUUAAGUUCAUGAACUGAGUUACCACUGUAUUUUGUAGUGCACUUAAGCAAGUAGCUGUCACAUCAGCCUUCAGAUUUACAGUAGUUCUCAUCAGGAAUAAGAAGAAUAAUUUUUAACUUUCUGUAGAAAUGAGAGGUAUAAGUUCUGAGUGGAAAGUGAAGCAGCCCCUUAAAACAGCCUUGUGCUUUCACUCAAGCUGGAUAUUUCUUUAAUACAGCACCCAAACUUAGGCAUCUGAAAGAAAGACUUCCCCUUUGCUGAAAUAGUUUGGUUCUUAGGGAUGCUGUAUUUAUCACAUUUAUUUAUGUGCAUUGUAUAAAUGUUCCAUUGUACAUAUCAGUAUAUUGUGGCUUCUUUUACUAUGAUUUAUUUCAUUUGCCUAUGAAAGAUUUUCUUAAAAUAUUUUCCUAGUCUUUUAUUUCACAGCUUUGUUGAAGUAAAAUUUGUAUACCCCCAAAUUCAUUCUAAAUUAUAGUUUAGAAUUUAACAACUCAUUGAGUUUUCUAAAUUUGCAGGUUAAUGCAAUCAUCACUACUAUCUAAUUUUAGAACAAUUUCUAUUACUCAAAGAAAUUUCAUGCCCUUUAGCAGUUACCCUCAGUUCCCACACUCAGCCAACUCCAGGCAACUACUACCCCACUUUCUGUCUUUAUAGAUUAGCCCUUUCUGAACAUGCACGUUGUCUUAAUUACUUUCUCAUCACUAGGACAAAAUACCUGACAGCCAAAACUUAAAGGAGGAGAGGUGUAUUUUGGUUCUUGUUUUCAGUCCAUAGUCUGCUGGCUCCAAGACAGGAAAGAUGUAGUGGAAGGGUCUGGCAGAGGAAAACUGCUCAUGUCAUAGUGGACAGGAAGCAAAGAGAGAAGGGAGGAUGUAGGGAGGGAGAUAUGCCUUUCUUGGUCAUACCCUCAGUGACCUACCUCUAACCAGGUUCCACCUCCUAACAGCAGGUCAGCAGUAGCAUCCCCAUCACCCAGUCCCUUCCACAAGCACUGCCUGUAAGUGCAUGAGGCUUUGUGGGGGACUUUUCAUAUCCAAAACACAACACCUGUAAAUGGAAUAAUUUAAUAUGUGGCCUUUGUAUCUGGCUCCUUUCAUUUAUCUUAUUUUUGAGAUUCAUGGAUACCGUAGCAUGUUUCUGUACUUCAUUUCUUUGUAAUGUAUUGGGGUUUUUUUGUUGUUUUUUGUGGGGUUUUUUUGGUACCGGGGAUCAAACUCAGGUUCUUGCACCUGCUCAGCAGGCAGCGAAACCACUGAGCUAAAUCCCAGGCCCUGUAUUGUUGAAUAGUAUUCCAUUAUGUUGUUUCCAGGAAACACAUAUUAUUUAUUCACUAAUUGAUAGACAUUUGGGUUCUUUCCACUUUGGGGCUAUUAUGAAUAGUGCUGCUGUGAACAUUUGUAUACAAGUUUUUGUGUGGGCAUGCAUUUUCAUUUUUCUUGGGUAUAUACUUAGGAGUGGGAUUGCUAGGUUAUAUAAUAAACUCUUACAUUUUGAGGCACUGUCAUUUUCCAAAGUGACUCCACCAGCAAUGUAUGAGUGUUACAGCUGUUCCACAUCUUUGCCAGUACUUUGUAUGGCCAGUCUUUUAGCCAUUUUAGUAGAGGUAUGGUAGAACAGUAAUAGUUUUAAUUUGCAUUUCCCUAAUAACUAAUGAUGUUGAGCAUCUUCUUGUGUACUUAUUGGUGAUUCUCAUUUCUUCUUUGGUGAUCUUAGUCUUUUAAAACAAUAUUUAUAACCUAGUAUAGUAUAACAGUGAGGUUCCAUCUAGGAAACAAAUCAUCCCAGAUAUUUUAACAGAAUUAAAUAUAAAGAAAUGUUAUUAAGUAUAAAGGUAAAAAGCAAACAUUGAGGUAUCAUAGAGAUAAUGUUUACAGAAAGCAGCUGUCAACUGUAGGGUUGGGGUGGGGUAGGGAUGAGAUGGUCUUAAGUCUGUAAAGCUUAGAGGAGGGGCCCACAAAGCUCUGUGUGCUGGGCAGCUGGUGAUGGUGUUUCUGAGGGACAUGAGAUGAGCCUGGUGCUAUAAGUGCUGUAACUCUGCAAAUCAGAUUCAGCUGCUUCACUGGAAGGAGUUGCUGCUGCCUCAGCAAAGAACUGUUGCUGGGGUAAUACUGGGAGCCAGAAGCCAACAGUGAGCAUUAGGAAAGAGUGAGCCUUACAGUCUCCCUCUAGUGUCUCCUGCUGGCUGAGCCUAACGGGGCCAAAUGCUAAAACAAAAAUGUGGGUUUCAGAAUCCCAGAAUCUCAAGGCUGAGUUUGGAAGAUGAGGCUGGAGCUGAAACACAAUAGCUUAAUAACCAGCCCAGCUCAUCUCCUUGAAUUCUCAGCAUCUAGACACACCCCACUAAAUAUAUGGGAACUUUGAAUAUCCACAUAACAAAAACAACUGCUUCGGCUUGAUAGAAUGUGAGUAUACUUCACAUGAAUGAAAACGUUCUCACCAACUCUCCAAAAUGCAUUGUCACAAAGACUCAUUAGUCAUUUUCUUUCUGGGAGAGAGUCACAUUAUCCAUUUCUGGGCCUUGUUAAUUAGUCCUUAAAUUUAGUCACAGUUCUGCUUCAUUAUUAUUUUACACAAAGUCUAAAUUGUAGAGUUAAGCAUCCAACCGUGCUUGUUUAAAAUAAUAUAAGAGGAAAGAGAGAAGAAAAGUUGGUGUACACACCCUGCCACCCCACUCCACAAGCAAGGAAAUAUGUAUAGCUGCCAACCUGGAAGUAGUUGAUGCUUAUAUCUUUCUUCUUUUAUUCAUUCUGUGUUUUCAUUGCCCCCAGCCAGGACCCUACCUGGUUAGGGUUCUUACCCUGAAGGCCUGCUGGAGGUCUGAAUUUUCAGCUCUACUACCUUGUUUGGAUUGUUGUAGUUUUCAGUUAACUUUUAUUAUUGGAGAUGGAAGUGCUAACAAAUACCCAGUAAAAGGAAGCCAUAAUCUUGUUUGAUUCUUUAGGAGGUAGCAUCCCAGUUUCCUUUUCCUUAUUUGCCUCUUAGAUUAAUGGCUUAAUUAAAGAGCACAAAAUGACCAAGUGACAUCCUUGUCUUCCACUUCACUGAAGUGUGAACAUUUUUCCCUUUAAAACCAUGACUUCAUUUCAGCAGGGAUGGGAAGGAAAAUAAUUUUUGAGUAGGUUAUUAGGGUAGUAAGUGAGAGAGUAUACUUCCACACAUUGACUCCUGGAAUAGUGACUUUGACAUUGGAGACAGCUCGAUUCAAAGAAAAUACUGCAUCAUAUGAGACAACUUUAUCUUUGAGAAUUUUCUUAAAAUUGUUGAGUUCAUUAGGUUGUCCUGUUCUGCUGGGCCAGUUGUUAUAGGUGAUGGUUAUGUGAUGAGACUGGUGAAUUCCAACUGCAGAUGCUCUUUAAUAACUGGUACAUGCAGUGGGUUGUAAAUUGCAGGCCAUGAGCCAUUAGUAGUCCUGGAGACAGUAUUGUGGGGUGUAACUAGGUUUUCCCCCUCUCCUCCUCUACCUUCCAGUGAACUGUAAUAGACUUGAGAGGUUGGAUAGCAAAUAACCAUGUAACACAUGUUGUAAAGGUAAAUGUUUUUACACACAUUUACUUUAUUAUAAUUAAAACUCUUAUUAAGAUCCAUGGUCGCAAUACUUUGAAAGCUACUGGUCUGAAGAGACAUUUGAACUUGCGGUUUCCCUAUCUCCAACCUCUGGAGCUUUCACCAGUGUUGAUUUCUCAGUCUCACUCCACAUGGUGUCAGUGUUGGCCACAUUCCUUCGGUGGAUCUGACCAUGAGAAUGGGUUUCUGUGGGAAUCUUACUUCCUUAGGCAAGGUCAGAGGAUGGCCACCAUGAAGGGAAUCACGUAUAAAACUUAACUUUUCAAAUUGUUUGGACAAUUAAACAGGACUAGUAACUAAAGGGGCCAGGGAUUUAGCUCAGUGGUGCCGACCCGUGCCUCGCAAGCACAAGGUCCUGAGUUCGAUCCCCAGUACCAAAAAAGAAAAAAAAAAGACUAGUAACUAAAUGCUAUGCUUGGUAUCUUGCAUGCACCAAGAAUUAGUUAUGUAACACGCUAUUAAAUAAAAUAUCUGUCACUGCUCUUUAUAUAGUGUUUGCCUUUAAAUCUCUUAUAUUGGUUAGAUGACUAGACUGGCCUAUAUAGAGCCAAUUUUCUGACUUGAAUAAAAUUUCAUAUACCCUGUUAAUCUCUUUCCAUUCCUUCUCUGACUUUUUCGCCAAAUGACAUCUUUGUUUUCUUGAAUCUUGAGAGUCUUUGGCAAACGCAGAGAUGGAAAUUCUGUGGGAAAGUAUCUGCAAAAUAAAUUUCUUUGAAUGAAUUGGGAUAGAUGGCUUGGCUUUCAGGAGCAGACCUGGCCUUACAUAAUGAAUGAGUCAAAAUUGUUUGACCAGACAAAAGGUUUCUGUUAAGUGUUCUAUAAAUUUAAGCACAAUAAUUUUUUAAAAUUCUUUUAUUGGUACAUUUUAGGUAUACAAUACAUUUACGUUUCUCAUUGGGAACUUGUACCUUUAUAUGAUGUAUCUUGGUUCUUAUUUUUACCCCAUUCCCUGCCCUCCCUUCACCCCCUCCACCCUUCCCUAUUUACAAAGACUUUGUUUCCAUUUUUCCCAUUUCUCAUAAUUUUUCCUUUCCCUUCUUUACUUUCCCCUGCCCCUCCCACUUCCCCUACCCCUUUGGACCUUUUCUUCCUAUUUCGCAUUAUCAAUUAUUCAUUCUAAUCAUUGGUACAUUUUAGGUAUACAGUAUAAUGACAUUUAUCAUUGGAAAUUUCCUCCUUUACAUAAUCUCUCUUGGUUCUUACUUUUCUCCCUUCCCCGGCCCUCCCUUCAACCCCUCCAUCCCUCCCUAUUUUUUUUUUCCC